GACGAACGCUGGCGGCGUGCCUAAUACAUGCAAGUUGAGCGCUGAAGGUUGGUACUUGUACCAACUGGAUGAGCAGCGAACGGGUGAGUAACGCGUGGGGAAUCUGCCUUUGAGCGGGGGACAACAGUUGGAAACGAAUGCUAAUACCGCAUAAAAACUUUAAACACAAGUUUUAAGUUUGAAAGAUGCAAUUGCAUCACUCAAAGAUGAUCCCGCGUUGUAUUAGCUAGUUGGUGAGGUAAAGGCCCACCAAGGCGAAGGUACAUAGCCGACCUGAGAGGGUGAUCGGCCACAAUGGGACUGGGACACGGCCCAAACUCCUACGGGAGGCAGCAGUAGGGAAUCUUCGGCAAUGGACGAAAGUCUGACCGAGCAACGCCGCGUGAGUGAAGAAGGUUUUCGGAUCGUAAAACUCUGUUGGUAGAGAAGAACGUUGGUGAGAGUGGAAAGCUCAUCAAGUGACGGUAACUACCCAGAAAGGGACGGCUAACUACGUG
rnacentral:rRNA from 1 species